ACUUUCAACAACGGAUCUCUUGGCUCUCGCAUCGAUGAAAAACGCAGCGAAAUGCGAUAACUAAKGUGAAUUGCAAAAUUCAGUGAAUCAUCGAGUCUUUGAACGCACCUUGCACCCUUUGGUAUUCCAAAGGGUAUGCCUGUUUGAGUGUCAUU
rnacentral:rRNA from 1 species